CCUACGGGAGGCAGCAGUAAGGAAUAUUGGACAAUGCUCGCAAGAGUGAUCCAGCCAUGCCGCGUGCAGGAAGAAUGCCCUAUGGGUAGUAAACUGCUUUUGAACUAGAGAAAACCCCAGUACGUGUACUGGGCUGAUAGUAUAGUUAGAAUAAGCAUCGGCUAACUUCGUGCCAGCAGCCGCGGUAAGACGAAGGAUGCAAGCGUUAUCCGGAUUCAUUGGGUUUAAAGGGAGCGUAGGUGGACUGAUAAGUCAGUGGUGAAAUCUCCGAGCUUAACUCGGAAAUUGCCAUUGAUACUGUUGGUCUUGAGUACAGUUGCUGUGGGCGGAAUAUGACAUGUAGUGGUGAAAUACAUAGAGAUGUCAUAGAACACCGAUUGCGAAGGCAGCUCACAAAGCUGUAACUGACACUGAGGCUCGAAAGUGCGGGGAUCAAACAGGAUUAGAUACCCUGGUAGUCCGCACCGUAAACGAUGAUUACUCGCUGCUAGGGGGCAACCUUUAGUGGCUUAGCGAAAGCGANAAGUAAUCCACCCUGGGGAGUACGCCGGCAACGGUGAAACUCAAAGGAAUUGACGGCGNGAGGAGNGCGAGGCGACGACGAGGGGAGGAGG
rnacentral:rRNA from 1 species